AGAAUUCUGGUGAAAAGGUUCAAUCUGUACUGCCGUAUCACCAACAUCUGUCUUGAGGUGGUGAGCCAACAUGAUAAAAUGAGAAGCAUUACUUUCAGAGCAGCUUUCUUAGUAUCUCCAAUACUGUGUUAAAUGCAAGUUUAAACUUGCAGUACACUUACAGCAGGCUAGUUGGCAUGGGAGAAAGAAGACAGGAGCUCCUGAAAUUGCUGCGGAGACCGGCUUCAGAGCAGAAUUUAAUGAUGAGAUUCCCAAAUUUUCAAGAGCACCAGAAGAGUUCCACAGAGCCACAUAAGUGGCAUUUAAAUAACAUCUUCCUCAAGUAUGAGCAAGGGGAAAGAAGAAAACUGAUAACAAAGAAGUUACAACAGAAAAACAGCAAAGUGACUUUCUUGCUUCCAAACCUAGUGCUGUACCUAGAAAAAGGAUCAACGACAAGCUGUGACUCUGCAUAA
rnacentral:lncRNA from 1 species